GAUGAACGCUGGCGGCGUGCCUAAUACAUGCAAGUCGAGCGAACGGACGAGAAGCUUGCUUCUCUGAUGUUAGCGGCGGACGGGUGAGUAACACGUGGAUAACCUACCUAUAAGACUGGGAUAACUUCGGGAAACCGGAGCUAAUACCGGAUAAUAUUUUGAACCGCAUGGUUCAAAAGUGAAAGACGGUCUUGCUGUCACUUAUAGAUGGAUCCGCGCUGCAUUAGCUAGUUGGUAAGGUAACGGCUUACCAAGGCAACGAUGCAUAUCCGACCUGAGAGGGUGAUCGGCCACACUGGAACUGAGACACGGUCCAGACUCCUACGGGAGGCAGCAGUAGGGAAUCUUACGCAAUGGGGGAAAGCCUGACGGAGCAACGCCGCGUGAGGGAUGAAGGUCUUCGGAUCGUAAAACUCUGUUAUUAGGGAAGAACAUAUGUGUAAGUAACUGUGCACAUCUUGACGGUACCUAAUCAGAAAGCCACGGCUAACUACGUG
rnacentral:rRNA from 1 species